CUGACGCGAGUUCCAUGAGUUCUUUGAGUGGAGUAGAGUCGGCGAGCGAGAUGUCGCAAAGCACGGUCGGAGCUGCAGGAGCAGCUCCAACAAGAGAGUGAUAGCAAUAUCCGUUGCUGCGCUGGGCUUGCUGUUGAUAGGUGGGGCUGUCAUAUUUGCUUUCAC